rnacentral:rRNA from 1 species
UCGAAGUCAUUGAAUGUCAUUCCAAGAAAAGCCACUAAGCUCCAGCUUAACAAGACCGUACCGCAAACCGACACAGGUGGGCGAGAUGAGUAUUCUAAGGCGCUUGAGAGAACUGCGGAGAAGGAACUCGGCAAAUUAAUACCGUAACUUCGGGAGAGGGUAUGCCCUUGUAGCGUAAGGUGAACAACCAAGCGUGAAAGGGUCUCAGAGAAAUGGUGGCUGCGACUGUUUAAUAAAAACACAGCACUCUGCAAACACGAAAGUGGACGUAUAGGGUGUGACGCCUGCCCGGUGCUGGAAGAUUAAUUGAUGGGGUGCAAGCUCUUGAUCGAAGUCCCAGUAAACGGCGGCCGUAACAAUAACGGUCCUAAGGUAGCGAAACUCCUUGUCGGGUAAGUUCCGACCUGCACGAAUGGCGUAACGAUGGCCACACUGUCUCCUCCGCAGACUCAGCGAAGUUGAAAUGUUUGUGAUGAUGCAAUCUCCCCGCGGCUAGACGGAAAGACCCCAUGAACCUUUACUGUAGCUUUGCAUGGUAUGUUGAAUCGUUUUGUGUAGGAUAGGUGGGAGACUUUGAAGCCGGUACGCCAGUAUUGGUGGAGUCAUCCUUGAAAUACCACCCUGAAUUAUUUGACGUUCUAACCACGGCCCCUGAAUCGGGGUCUGGGACAGUGCAUGGUGGGCAGUUUGACUGGGGCGGUCUCCUCCCAAAUUGUAACGGAGGAGUUCGAAGGUACGCUUAACACGGUCGGACAUCGUGUGUAAAGUGCAAUGGCAAAAGCGUGCUUAACUGCGAGAGCCACAACUCGAGCAGGUGCGAAAGCAGGACAUAGUGAUCCGGUGGUUCUGAAUGGAAGGGCCAUCGCUCAACGGAUAAAAGGUACUCUGGGGAUAACAGGCUGAUACCGCCCAAGAGUUCAUAUCGACGGCGGUGUUUGGCACCUCGAUGUCGGCUCAUCUCAUCCUGGGGCUGUAGUCGGUCCCAAGGGUAUGGCUGUUCGCCAUUUAAAGAGGUACGCGAGCUGGGUUUAAAACGUCGUGAGACAGUUUGGUCCCUAUCUGCCGUGGGCGCUGGAAAUUUGACGGGGGCUGCUCCUAGUACGAGAGGACCGGAGUGGACGUACCGCUGGUGUACCUGUUGUUUCGCCAGAAGCAUCGCAGGUUAGCUAAGUACGGAAAAGAUAACCGCUGAAAGCAUCUAAGCGGGAAACUUGCCUGAAGAUUAGAUUUCCCGGGAACUUGAUUCCCUUGAAGGGUCGUUGUAGACCACGACGUUGAUAGGUCGGGUGUGGAAGUGCAGCAAUGCAUUAAGCUAACCGAUACUAGUUGCCCGUAAGGCUUGACC